AGAUGCGUGCAAACACUUUGAGCACUGAAGGUCCGCAGGCCUCCGCAAUCACUGAGCAUUUGAGACUCCUCUGGGGCCAUGCAUCCACCAGCUCUCAGCGCAGGUGAUGGCAGCCCUGGACCUCAGCAAACAACCUUGGUCUAUGUGGCAUUGGCCUGGAAAUGAGUGUCUGCAGCCUGGAAAUUUAGAUCUUAAGUGUGCUCUUGUUGCAGUGUCUGACAUGCCCCCAAACGACUGUCCCUAGAGAAACAUCUGGGACUGUGAGUAACACACAUGGAGAGGAAGAGAGGGAGGAAGCCAUGGAUUUUUCCAAAAGGUGAAGGAGGAGAAACAAGCGAGUGAGAUCCGGGGAUCAGCUUCAUGAAGAUGGGUGGCACUGUCUGAAGAGCUUUCAAAGAUCUUCCCUGAAUGUGGGCAGCUGCGGACUUCAUGUUUCUUCUCCACGCAUCAGAGCAGCGGUCCUCAGCCGAGCAUGCUCCAGGCCAGCAACUGCACUGUCCCUGGGAAACUGUUAGAAGUGCAGACCCCCAGGCCCCACCCAGACACUCCAUGGU
ensembl:lncRNA novel transcript